rnacentral:rRNA from 1 species
CCUACGGGAGGCAGCAGUGAGGAAUAUUGGUCAAUGGUCGCGAGACUGAACCAGCCAAGUAGCGUGAAGGAGGACUGCACUACGGGUUGUAAACUUCUUUUAUAAGGGAAUAAAGUGAGGCACGCGUGCCUGGUUGUGUGUACCUUAUGAAUAAGGAUCGGCUAACUCCGUGCCAGCAGCCGCGGUAAUACGGAGGAUCCGAGCGUUAUCCGGAUUUAUUGGGUUUAAAGGGAGCGUAGAUGGGUUGUUAAGUCAGUUGUGAAAGUUUGCGGCUCAACCGUUAAAUUGCAAUUGAUACUGGCAGCCUUGAGUACAGUUGAGGUAGGCGGAAUGCGUGGUGUAGCGGUGAAAUGCUUAGAUAUCACGAAGAACUCCGAUUGCGAAGGCAGCUUACCAAACUGCCACUGACAUUGAUGCUCGAAAGUGUGGGUAUCGAACAGGAUUAGAUACCCUUGUAGUC